rnacentral:lncRNA from 1 species
UGACGAGCAGCCAGUUGUUGGCAGCCAGGUGGGAGAGGGCUAAGAAGGAACGGAGCAGGGACCCAUAGGAAGGCUCUUCAGCUUGGGGGUGGAGGCCCAGCCUCACGCGGUGCUGGUAGUGGUAGGUGAGGUGCUGCCUUCCCUGCGGGCCCGGUGUGGCUGAGGCUGGCGGGAGGAGGAGAUGUGAGGAGGCAGAGCUAUUCCUGCACUUGCAGAUCUCGGUGUCCACAGAGAGACGUUCUCAACUGACCCUGCCCAGGAAAGGAGGCUGUAGCGUCCCUUUCAGAGCCCGUCGAGGGUGAAAUGUGAGGCCGUCUGGAAGCACAAGCUGCCGGCCUUCAGGGCACAACUUGAGACUUCGUUGACAGAUCCAGAGAACGCAACCUGCCCGGGACGAACCAAGCCACGCACGGAACGGAUUCCACCUGCUAGGUGAACCUUUGCGUCAAAGCAGGCAAAGGAGAAGGCUCCGCAGCCCGGCCUGCUGGGGUCCGACGCCCCCGGCCCUGCUCUGUGCACACAGUACUCCGAGGACCAAGGCCUCUCAGGUGCUCUGCAGGAGUAGGUUCUGGCUAGAGAAGCGCCAUGAUGGGACCAACCUGUGCGGAGAGGGACAGCACAGCAGAGGGGGC